AUUCACUCAGGACCGUCAGGAGCGCCCUCAGGGCAGGACCUCGGGGGAGAGAAGUCAGUCGAACAAGCCACGAAGGCCUCAAACGCAGCAGCCCUUUAGAAUUAGAGCUCUCCAGAAACACAACACAGUCAACGAAAGUUGUGACCGGCUGGCACAUAUAGACAAACCUCUCUACAUGGCUUCCUUGUUUGCAGAAUAGAAAACGGAAUAACUGUGAAAAAUAAGCUAUAGAAAUUAACAUUGAACCAUGAGGACGAGAUGGUUGGACAGUGUUCUUG